GUUGAGGGGAAUGUUGUUUGGCUCGACGACACCAAUUAAUCGUCAUUUUAUGGCGUUAUUAAUCUUAAAUGGAAUAAGAUUAUACAUAAUUUGUGAUGUCGGACCAGGCUUCAUUCCCCCCAAC
rfam:Beta vulgaris subsp. vulgaris Bvchr5.sca002.con0373.1, whole genome shotgun sequence.